rnacentral:rRNA from 1 species
GAUGAACGCUGGCGGCGUGCCUAAUACAUGCAAGUCGAGCGAACAGACGAGGAGCUUGCUCCUCUGACGUUAGCGGCGGACGGGUGAGUAACACGUGGAUAACCUACCUAUAAGACUGGGAUAACUUCGGGAAACCGGAGCUAAUACCGGAUAAUAUAUUGAACCGCAUGGUUCAAUAGUGAAAGUCGGUUUUGCUGUCACUUAUAGAUGGAUCCGCGCCGCAUUAGCUAGUUGGUAAGGUAACGGCUUACCAAGGCGACGAUGCGUAGCCGACCUGAGAGGGUGAUCGGCCACACUGGAACUGAGACACGGUCCAGACUCCUACGGGAGGCAGCAGUAGGGAAUCUUCCGCAAUGGGCGAAAGCCUGACGGAGCAACGCCGCGUGAGUGAUGAAGGUCUUCGGAUCGUAAAACUCUGUUAUUAGGGAAGAACAAAUGUGUAAGUAACUAUGCACGUCUUGACGGUACCUAAUCAGAAAGCCACGGCUAACUACGUG